UUUCCAUUGAUAUAUUGUUAAGAGCGAUGCCAUAUAGUGGGAAAGAAAACAUAGCAAAAGCUUCCCAAAUCAAAACUAAUCAAUCACAGUUUGCAGUUUGGCUGAAUACAAAGAGGUGUUUGCUGAAAAAAAGAAAAUCAAGGAAUAAACUACCAAUCAAAACUAACCAGCUAUUGUCGUGGUCGAUUCGCUUGACAUUCUCUCGGGAGAAAAAGCAUUUCCCUAUUUUUAAUUUCUCCAUUAAUUCAUUACACGCUCAAAUAGAAACUUUGUUCAUGGAAUGACGUUGCUCACUUACGGUACUAACAACAUCACAUAUCAAUUGUCAAUUAAUAGUCUCAGUCUCUCACUCAAACUUUGCAGUUUCAACAAGAG